rnacentral:rRNA from 1 species
UACGAAGGGGGCUAGCGUUGUUCGGAAUUACUGGGCGUAAAGAGCGCGCAGGCGGUCGUGCAAGUCGCGUGUGAAAGCCCCCGGCUCAACUGGGGAGGGUCACGCGAUACUGCUCGACUCGAAGGCAGGAGAGGGAAGUGGAAUUCCCGGUGUAGUGGUGAAAUGCGUAGAUAUCGGGAGGAACACCAGUGGCGAAGGCGACUUCCUGGCCUGUUCUUGACGCUGAGGCGCGAAAGCUAGGGUAGCAAACGGG